rnacentral:rRNA from 1 species
UACGUAGGGUGCAGGCGUUAAUCGGAAUUACUGGGCGUAAAGCGUGCGCAGGCGGUUGCUAAGACAGGUGUGAAAUCCCCGGGCUUAACCUGGGAACUGCGCUUGUAACUGGCAAGCUGGAGUGUGGCAGAGGGGGGUGGAAUUCCGACGUGUAGCAGUGAAAUGCGUAGAGAUGUGGAGGAACACCGAUGGCGAAGGCAGCCCCCUGGGCUAACACUGACGCUCGAUGCACGAAAAGCGUGGGGGA